CCUAAAAAUCAAAUUAAUCAUUAAUCAUAAUCGAUAAUCACCAAAAUUGGAAUUUUAAUCAUCAAUGAUUAAUCAUGAUUAAAAUUUUUGUUAAUCAUGAACGCUCUGGUAGCAUCAUAGAUUUAACUUGGUAGCAUCCUCGGAGUAGACAUUCUUGAUAUUCUUAUUCUUUGAAUCAACCCAAAUAUAGGUUAUUUUCAUUUUCACUCAUAUCGACUCUUCCGUGCGAUUACCCAAUUUUGGCCAAACUGCUUUAAGCUAUGAGUGGGUUGUUUUCUUGGUUGUUUCCGUUUGAUCUCGUCAGAAAAUAGCAACCCAUCGCAAACUCGAACGCAAAGUUGUUACCACCCAGCGUUGACUUUCGAAGUAAACGCCAUAACCCAAAUUUGGAUUCUCGCCGGGCAUUAUUAUCGACUAGGUUCCUGCUUCUCGCUUUAAAUUUUUGACAACAUUGCGUGCACAUCUCAUGGGGGAGACCGAGAAAACUACCCAUCCGCUGGGUAUAAGUAUAAGCGGUUUGUUUUUCCGUGUGGCUGGCCCGGCCCACCCCUGCAGGGUAGAAAACGACCUUCUUUUCUGUAGUUUUGAAUAAGCGUGUGCGUGCGGCCGCAACUGUCAAACUUUUCCUCGGUCGGCAUCGUCGGCAUGGCAUCACGUGAGAUUUCCAUUUCUUUCGGUGAAAUGACGAAAUUUUGUGGAAAUUUCUAUUUAACAGCUCCAUCCUCAUUUCACUAGAAUCAGGACUACCGGAGUGAUGCGCCGCGGUGGCGCUCGGCGCCCAAGCGAUUUCAACAAAUUCCAGCUGGAUGAAGUACGUCAGGUAGGUUUCUACAACAAAUUA